rnacentral:rRNA from 1 species
UACGAAGGGGGGCUAGCGUUGCUCGGAAUCACUGGGCGUAAAGCGCACGUAGGCGGAUUGCUAAGUCAGGGGGUGAAAUCCUGGAGCUCAACUCCAGAACUGCCUUUGAUACUGGCGAUCUCGAGUCCGGGAGAGGUGAGUGGAACUGCGAGUGUAGAGGUGAAAUUCGUAGAUAUUCGCAAGAACACCAGUGGCGAAGGCGGCUCACUGGCCCGGUACUGACGCUGAGGUGCGAAAGCGUGGGGAGCAAACAGG